AUUGAACGCUGGCGGCAGGCCUAACACAUGCAAGUCGAGCGGCAGCGGGAAAGUAGCUUGCUACUUUUGCCGGCGAGCGGCGGACGGGUGAGUAAUGCCUGGGAAAUUGCCCAGUCGAGGGGGAUAACAGUUGGAAACGACUGCUAAUACCGCAUACGCACUACGGGGGAAAGCAGGGGACCUUCGGGCCUUGCGCGAUUGGAUAUGCCCAGGUGGGAUUAGCUAGUUGGUGAGGUAAUGGCUCACCAAGGCGACGAUCCCUAGCCGGUCUGAGAGGAUGCACAGGCACAGUGGAACUAGGACACGGUCCAGAAUCCUACGGGAGGCAGCAGUGGGGAAUAUGGCACAGUGGGGAAACCCUGAUGCUGCCAUGCCGCGUGGGUGAAGAAGGCCUUCGGGUUGUAAAGCGCUUUCAGCGAGGAGGAAAGGUUGAUGCCUAAUACGUAUCAACUGUGACGUUACGCGCAGAAGAAGCACCGGCUAACUCCGUGCCAGCCGCCGCAGUAAAAC
rnacentral:rRNA from 1 species